UGCUCGCUUCAGCAACACAACACUGACGUGGGAACAACAGAGACAAGAUUAGCACAGCCCCCGUGGAAGAAUGACAUGCAAAUUCCUGAAGCAUUCCAUAUUUUU